CCCUUAGAUGUUCUGGGCCGCACGCGCGCUACACUGAUGCAUUCAACGAGUCUAAAACCUGCUCUGAUAGGGGUGGGUAAUCUUUUGAAUGUGCAUCGUGAUUGGGAUAGAUGAUUGCAAUUUUUCAUCUUCAACGAGGAAUGCCUAGUAAACGCAAAUCAUCAAUUUGCAUUGAUUACGUCCCUGCCCUUUGUACACACCGCCCGUCGCACCUACCGAUUGAAUGGUCCGGUGAAGCCUCGGGAUUGUGGCCAGUUCACUUUAUUGGGAGUUGGCUGCGAGAACUUGUCUAAACCUUAUCAUUUAGAGGAAGGUGAAGUCGUAACA
rnacentral:rRNA from 1 species